AAAACUCUUCAACAUUUCUUUCUAACUACUUCAUCUUCUCUUCCCAACAGUAAUAACAAAGGUUCUGAUUCGAUUCAAGCCAAGAUCCACGUAUAAAGAUGUCCAAGGUCCAUGUUUAGAGCUUUCAUAUACAUAUAAUAGUUUGUCGUCGUUAUGCCUGGCUCCCUGUAUGCCACGAGUGGAUACCGAUUUUGUUAUAAAAUCGGCUGCCGGUGGCGUACAAGGAGCCAAGCAUGACCAUAAGCAUAUGAUAACUCAUUUGCAUCAACAAACUAUAUAUGAUAUAUCUAUAUAUCUAUUGUUUAUGUUAUAUGAUGGUUUAUUUGAAUUUUGGCUUUUGUGUUUACAUUUGGGGUUUUGAUAAGUAAACAGAAAUAAAACCAAGUUUUGUAAUUGUCGGUUUGAUAUGUAUUACAAUUUUUGUUUGGAUUCGGCUUACUCAUAUUAAUCGUCAGUUUUCUAAAAAAAAUUGUUUCGUUUUUAUUUUUGGUCCAGGACUUUAAAUUGUUUCAAGUUUCGUAUAUAUAUCCAAUUGAUUAAGACUACAAUAACUUGAAUUGAUUCGUUUAAAAUCAUACUCAUUUUCUAUACAAACAAAAAAAUCAUAGUCAUUUUUUCUUUCAUUAUUUUGUGUGGUUUGCGGACACUACUAGUUACUUAAAACCAUUGUCUUAAGGUAAUCAUUUGGUCUUUUGUUCUGUAGUUUUACCAUCUAUGUUUGAAUUUUUGUCUAUUAUAUGAAUUUUGUUUGGAUGCAUCGAACUUGUAUCAUUUGAUUUGAAUUAUUAUCUGUGGCGGUCAAAUUAAAGUCUUAGAAGAAGAAAAAUAUUCGGUGGUAAACAGUAAACAUAUCAAUCAAUCAGAGUAAUUAUCGAUUUCAUAUUUGAAUUCUGAAAAUACAGAAUUUAGGCGUUGAUCAAGUCUUUCAAAUUUGUAUCACUUAGAAAGCCCUUCAAUCACGGAACACUAUAAAUUGAUAGUGAACAUCAGAACAUGAUUAUUCUUAAACCACUGCCAUAAUUAACUAUUGAGUCGUCAUCUUUUUUAUCUAUACAAGGGAAAAUUAUUUAUUAGAGUUUUAUGUUGUUUCUUACUGAUUUUUGUUUUCAUCAAACUUAAGAAUUUUUUUAAUGAGAAUUCGUAGGGAAUAGUUUAUUUUUUAAAACAUUUAACAUAUUUAAUUAGUAGGACUUGACUUUCCUUAAUAAAUCCUAGCUAGAGAGCUACAUAUGUUAUUUGUAAUUUUGUAAACUCAAUAUCCGUCGUGAGUGUUCAGAUAGUCGGAGGUUCUUACGGGAACAAAUUGUUACAAAGAUACAUGCGACUACAAAUUUAAGUAAGCACAUUAUAAAUUUUGGAUUCAUGCAUCCAUACCCUAUCCCAGUGGCGGAGGCAGCCAUUGUCUUGGUAGGGGUCAAUUUUUAUAGUAAAACUAAAAAUCUGUUUUGAACAAUAUUUUAUAGGAGUCAAUAAGCAUAUUUUAAACCAUUUUCCUGAAUUUUACUUAGAAUAUUACAAGUAAAUUAAAAUUUUCUACAAAUAAGGGUCAAUUGACCCCCAUAAUAACAAUAUACCUCCGCCCCUGCCCUAUCCAAAAUAUACAUUUAAUUGUUUUUCUUGUUCAUAACAAUAAUAUUCAUAAUUCCUUACAAAUUUGAUGUUUAUGUCUAACAAUUUUUUUAUAUAUAGAUUUUGAAAGAAUGUAAAAUUGUAUUCAACCAAAAAAAAUUGUUGUACAAUGAAUGAGUCAAAGAGAGUAGAAAGUUAUAGAGUUAAAAAAAAAAAACGCAGAAUCUAAGUUCUAGUUUGAGGCCACUUUCAUAGGGCACCUUUUGAAUGGUGCUGAGCUUGUUUCUUACACUUCUGUCAAUGAUGCGAGUGAGCUUUUGAGCUGGGGUGGGAGUGUCUUCGUGCCUUGUACCAAUUAUUUUCCUCCAUAUACUAUGUAACAAUAUUCUAUAUUUCAUGUUGUAUAUACUAGGCAUGUUCUUUUGUUGAUCGCUGGGAUUGAUUCCAGCGACUGAAAAUUAAAGAAGGAAAUGAGGAAUGGACAACACGUUUAUUACAAAAGUUCAGUCGCUGAUUGUUCGGAAGAGAGGACGUGUUUUGAUUUCUAGUCGCUGAAUUUUUUGACGACUCCUCCAUCAUUGUUGCUACACCUCCAUUUAUUCCAGCGACACUUUGCUUCAUGGGCUUUAGGUCAGGGCCGGGCCUUUCGGGUCAUAUAAGGUAACGAGUUCCAUUAUCCAUUGGGAUGAACAAUUUGAUUGUGGUUACCAUCAGGCCAAAGCUCUUCUUUUUUUUUUGCUCCAGGAAAAGUCUUCAUGUAGCACUAGGCUUCUCAAGCCUCUCCGUACAAUACAUCUCAAACCAAAUGUAAAACCGAAUCUUCUCUAAAGCUGUUGUUUUUUUGCUAAAUAUGUAAAUAUCAUAAAUGAAAGUUGAGGCUUUACACAAAAUAAAACCUAAGCAAGGGUAACCUUGGCAAAAAAAGUAAAAACAAGGUUACAAUAGAGUUAAGAAAGAUUUGAGGAAGUAAUCGGAUCCAAAGAAGUAUAAGCUUUUUGUAAGUGCGGAUGAGGUCAAAUAAAUUGCAGUAAAUUGCAGAAAGUAAACGAGACAAGAAAUUUGUUAACAAAGUCGGUUUUUCCUACUCCUCGGGACCAAGUCCAAAUUUCGAUUUCACUAGAACAAGAAAGCAAAUUACAACCAAUUCGCAAACGCGUAAAACAAGCACAACCCUCUUGAUUUACCGCUCCCUUCUAUAACGUGAAACCUUAAGGAUAAUCUCUACCCUUAACUAAACUCCCCCUUGAGUCUAGAUUUAAUCAGGAUAACCUAACCCUGAGCUAAACUCCCCCUGAGUCUAGACUUUAAUUCUUCAAGUCUCUGGACUAACCGUCACACACAAACGUUACACCAACAGACAAAUAAGUUUGAUCACACAAGCAUCAAACCG
rnacentral:lncRNA from 1 species